CUUGGCACCUAGUAAGCACUCA
rnacentral:miRNA from 2 species